UCUCUUGUGGUAUAAUGGAUAAAUUACACACACCGGAUAUCUGAUCCGUGUUCUGGGUUCGAAUCCCAGUGAGAGAA